UACGUAGGAGGCAAGCGUUGUCCGGAAUUACUGGGCGUAAAGCGCGUGUAGGCGGGAAGCUCAGUCUGUGGUGAAAGCGCCUGGCUUAACCGGGCGAGGUCCAUGGAAACUAGCUACCUAGAGGCCGGUAGAGGGGGGUGGAAUUCCGGGUGUAGUGGUGAAAUGCGUAGAUAUCAGGAGGAACACCAGUGGCGAAGGCGGCUCACUGGACCGGAACUGACGCUGAUGCGCGAAAGCGUGGGGAGCAAACGGG
rnacentral:rRNA from 1 species